AGAAAAUUAUUAUGGGAAACUCCGCAGAUGUUUUAGAAAGAUAUUCAUUGAAGCUGAAAAUAAUUGGAGAUAUAGAUCCAUAUACAUGCAAUUCAGUCAUCAGAAUUGGAUUUUACAGUGCAUUUCAUCAAUUACUGUUAUAAUGCUAUUAUAGAUAGACUGGUAGAGUCUCACAGUUACUACUUUAAGCAGCAGAUGAAAGCAUACAAAAGCCUUCAGGCACAUAAAGCCUUCACAACUGGAUUUGUUUUGAAACAUUUGAUGAUUUGUUAUUAUUGUUGGAAAGGUAAGUCUUUAUUUUAUUUAUUCACCAUUAAGAAAUAUAUGGAUAACAGUAUUAGUGUCUUUCGAAUAAAUGGGUUUUAAAUAUUAGAUUUAUUUACGUUUAUAUAUCUGUAUGAAACCAGACAUAUUGUCGUCCUAAUUUGUAAACUGUGUAACUCCAUAUUUCUCUGAAACUGAGUUAUUACUGCCAUUUAUUUGAAAAAAUCCCUACUCGUUUAAAAAAGGAUGCACAUGCAUAUUUUUACCAGAAGA
rnacentral:lncRNA from 1 species